rnacentral:rRNA from 1 species
UACGUAGGGUGCGAGCGUUAAUCGGAAUUACUGGGCGUAAAGCGUGCGCAGGCGGUUUUGUAAGCCAGAUGUGAAAUCCCCGGGCUCAACCUGGGAAUGGCAUUUGGGACUGCAAGGCUGGAGUGCGGCAGAGGAGACUGGAAUUCCUGGUGUAGCAGUGAAAUGCGUAGAUAUCAGGAGGAAUACCGAUGGCGAAGGCAGGUCUCUGGGCUGACACUGACGCUGAACUGCGAAAGCUAGGGGAGCGAACGGG